CCUACGGGAGGCAGCAGUGAGGAAUCUUCGUCAAUGGGCGCGAGCCUGAACCAGCCAAGUAGCGUGAAGGAUGACUGCCCUAGGAGCUGUAAACUUUUUUUAUAAAGAAAUAAAGUGAUGCACGUGUGCCUUCUUGUAUCUACUUUAUGAAUAAGGAUAGGCUAACUCCGUGCCAGGAGCCGCGGUAAUACGGAGGGUACGAGGGUUUCCCGGAUUGAUUGGGUUUAAGGGGAACGUAGAUGGGUUGUUAAGUCAGUUGUGAAAGUUUGCGGCUCAACCGUAAAAUUGCAUUUGAUACUGGCAGCCUUGAGUACAGUUGAGGUAGGCGGAAUUCGAGGUGUAGCGGUGAAAUGCUUAGAUAUCACGAAGAACUCCGAUUGCGAAAGCAGCCUACUAAACUGCCACUGACAUUGAUGCUCGAAAGUGUGGGUAGCAAACAGGAUUAGAUACCCCAGUAGUC
rnacentral:rRNA from 1 species